CCUACGGGUGGCAGCAGUGGGGGAUAUUGCACAAUGGGGGGAACCCUGAUGCAGCGACGCCGCGUGGGUGAAGGAGCGUUUCGGCGCGUAAAGCUCUAUCGGCAGGGAAGUAGAUGACGGUACCUGGCCAAGAAGCCCCGGCUAACUACGUGCCAGCAGCCGCGGGAAUACGGAGGGGGCAAGCGUUAUCCGGAUUUACGGGGUGUAAAGGGGGCGCAGGCGGGAAUGCAAGCCAGCGGGGAAAGACCGGGGCCCAACACCGGGACUGCACUUGGAACUGCAUGGCUGGAGAACAGGAGGGGCAGGCGGAAUGCCUAGUGUAGCGGUGAAAUGCGUAGAUAUUAGGAAGAACACCGGUGGCGAAGGCAGCCUGCUGGACUGUGACUGACGUUGAGGCCCGAAGGCGUGGGGAGCGAACAGGAUUAGAUACCCUGGUAGUC
rnacentral:rRNA from 1 species